CGGACGGGUGAGUAACGCGUAAAGAACUUGCCCUUUAGACUGGGAUAACAGAGGGAAACUUCUGAUAAUACUGGAUAAGUUAGUAUAUCGCAUGAUAUGCAAAUGAAAGCUACGGCACUAAAGGAGAGCUUUGCGUCCUAUUAGCUAGUUGGUAAGGUAAGAGCUUACCAAGGCGAUGAUAGGUAGCCGGCCUGAGAGGGUGGACGGCCACAAGGGGACUGAGAUACGGCCCUUACUCCUACGGGAGGCAGCAGGC
rnacentral:rRNA from 1 species